rnacentral:rRNA from 1 species
UACAGAGGGUGCAAGCGUUGUUCGGAAUUAUUGGGCGUAAAGCGCGUGUAGGCGGCUUAGCAAGUCGGGCGUGAAAGCCCUCGGCUCAACCGAGGAAGUGCACCCGAAACUGCUGAGCUUGAGUGCCGGAGAGGAUGGCGGAAUUCCCCAAGUAGAGGUGAAAUUCGUAGAUAUGGGGAGGAACACCGGUGGCGAAGGCGGCAUCCUGGACCAACACUGACGCUGAGGAGCGAAAGCCAGGGGAGCAAACGGG